rnacentral:lncRNA from 1 species
ACCCUGCCUAAUACCGGUUUUUAUCUACAAGCCACGGUUCCACUGUAGUCUCGAACAAACCCGACCAUGCUUCGUGCAACAUCGUUCUCUCGACUGUUCCAUUCUACUACCGUUAUUUAAUCAUCUGUGCAAUAAAAAAUGAACUCUACGUCUAUGAAAAUUAGACUACAAUUUAUAAAACAAAAAUAUACCGUUUUCGUUCCGUUUCGCUAUCGUAAAUCACAAUGAAACUUCUGUUUCAGUCGAGAAUAUUCCAGAUAGAUAACAAUUUCAAAUUGAAGUACCGGGCCGAUAAAUAUAGACAUAAUGGAAUAAUAUCAUCGACAACGAUAAUAUCCUUAGUGCAGAACCAACCUCGUGUCGCACACCCCAUGAAGAUACGAAACUCUACGUACAGCACUUUCUAAAAUAAUGGAUAAUAGCUAUUAACUUCACCUUCACCAACAAUCAACAUUACUAUCGUAUUCAGUCAAUAUUACUCAUUGCUUACAAAAUAAGCACUUACUUAUUCUUGCUAAAUUCUAAAUAGAGCAUGAAUAAAAUGAUUAACUUUAUAUCUGACCUUUUCUAUUCUCUCCCUGCUUCAAAAACUCAUCUUCCCCCCAUAAAAUCGAUAAAGCUCCAACAGUUCUCUUGCGUAGGUGUUCAAAAGUGUUAGUAAUCACUUUCGUUUGCCUACUUCCUGCUAUUAAAAAGUUUUCUAAGGAAAACAAGUACUCCUUCAGCCUGUAUUAUUAGUAAUAUUAGUAGGUCAAAAAAUAAAUUACUUUCUUUCGAAAGUACUACUCAGAAUCGGUUAGCAUUAAAAGCUGCCACGUUGGGCCGUAAAUGAUUCAAAAUUAAUUACAACUUGACGCGGAUUCAAGCUGCAUUCGGCUCAUGUGGUAAAAAAAUUUGGAAUUUCAUCCGCCCACUAAAUCCAAAACCUGUUGUUCAAACCAAGUAAGCUAUGCAAUUAUGAACGUGAAUGGAUCGCAAAAAAUAUUUUAUUUAUAAUACAAGUUACUUGAAUAUUUAUUUAUCCCACCAAACGUGAAGGUCGUAAUAGAACUGUUUUUUCUUCUAUAGGACCUUUAGUAUUCUUCCUUUGCCUUCCAUAGUUGGAUUGAAACAGCUAGUAUUAAUAAUGAAACAAAAAAAAAAAUAGUAAUAUAAACGAUGACAGAGAAUAUUUGAUUGAUCAUUACUUUUUUCUUUACGUUUAAGUUUUUAUCAGAUUAUUUUGAAUAAAAUUUGUUUUUUUGUUAUAUAUUUAUUCCCUAAUUGCCUUAUUGCUUAUAACAUCCAACCAGCCCUUGACAAGUUAAUGGAAAAUUUUAAACUAAAUAUUUUGUUUGCCUGUACAUAAACAAACAGCCAACACAGCUGUUUUAUAUGAGGACAAUCUAUCACCGAUAACAGCUAGAUAAAGGCGGAUUCCUCCGGCGUGGAUUGUUAUCUAAAUAUUCGAUUUUGUAACUGGUUUUACAGAACACGUGAGCUGGUUAUCGUUAUAUAAAGUCAUUUUUACAGAUGAACGUAUAUAUAAAUUACUAGAUUCUGUAGAGGUAUGCUUUAAGUACUUCUAUUGCCUAGCAGUAAUUCGGCUUGAAGGAAAUUAAAUUGAAUUUACUGGGUCUAAUAAGAUAGAAUUUCAGAUUCGAUCGGGUUUUGGCGUAAUUUGCAUAAAUUCAUAAACAACUACAUAUCUUGUCUUUGAUAUUUUUUGACAGAAACAAAUGCGUCUGCGCCAGGAGAAUGCGCUAGUGUUUUUUAUAAGAUAUUAACAUACGUCUGCAUUCGCAGUAUUACCUUUUCUCUAAACACCGUUAUGUCCUGAAGGAUCGAUAUGCAGAAUCGAUUAUUAGGUAGAGUUCGAAAAGCUGUAGUAUAGUAAGUAUCGGCAAUAUCAAUUAUAACCCAGCAAUAGAGAUGGGACUGAAUCGACUUUUCACAUUAUUGUCCUAGUAAAAACGUCCCAUUUUCUGACUAAACUAACCACAUUAAAUCUGGCGUUUAGUAACAAAAGAUAUAGCUGGAGUCAUCUCAUAUUAACUAAAAAUAAGCAAACCACGAAAAUAUUUUUUCCAUUAUGAAACAGGAAAAAAGAAGUAAGGUAAAAACAUAAAAUCAAUAAUAAAUUUUGCAAACUACAUGCUCCGUUUAAAUAUACGUGCGAGCAUCGAUAACUAUUAAAACAUGCAACAUGGCACCAAGCCUUGUCUAGGGUAAGCAGAGGUAUCUAUAUCAUAAAAAUCACACUCGCAUCUUGCGAGGUACUAGGUUCCAUCACCCAUUUAAUAAAUGGCGAAUCUAUUACCGACUUCGGGCUGUCUCUCGUUGCAGAGUUACGCUGUAGACAAAACAACAUGAUUUUUUUAAAAGGGCUAAGCAAAAUAACUCUACCAGUGGCAAAGGGUCUAUAUAACUCGAUUCCUGCCGGCUUCCCUUUCGUAAUUUAUGUAGAAUCUAAUUAUCAUUAGGACGAUUAAAAGACCGCAUUUAUGCAUAGUACCUAUAUGGUGUGUCGGGUUAUAUUUCGAAUAUUCCACCAUGGACCCUACUGCACUGGGUAAUAAGCGAUGUAAGGUCCAGAUAGUGUCUGACGAGAGCAUAAUUAGUACGAUCUAGUAACCGAAGGUCUGAAGUAAAUUUCUUGAAGCUUAAAUACAUUAAAUACACAUAAAUAUAAUAUGAUAGACAUUAAUCCACCUAACUCUCACGAUCAUUGGCAUAA